GCUUGGGUGGCUCAGUUGGUUGAGCGUCUGACUUCAGCUCAGGUCAUGAUCUCGCGGUCUGUGGGUUCGAGCCCCACGUCGGGCU
rnacentral:tRNA from 1 species